GCGGGGGUCGCCAAGUCAGGUCAAAGGCGUAAGGCUCAGGACCUUAUGGCGAAGGCCUUCGUGGGUUCAAAUCCCACCCCCCGCACCA
rnacentral:tRNA from 1 species